AGAGUUUGAUCCUGGCUCAGAACGAACGCUGGCGGCGUGGAUUAGGCAUGCAAGUCGAACGAUCCCGCAAGGGAUAGUGGCGAAAGGGUGCGUAACACGUGGGCAAUCUGCCCCCGAAACGGGAAUAACUUCGGGAAACCGAAGCUAAUACCUGAUGACACCGAGCUGCCGCAUGGUGGCACGGUGAAAGGCGUCCGCAAGGGUGCCGAUCGGGGAUGAGCCCGCGGCCUAUCAGCUAGUUGGUGAGGUAACGGCCCACCAAGGCGAUGACGGGUAGCCGGCCUGAGAGGGUGGUCGGCCACAUUGGGACUGAGACACUGCCCAGACUCCUACGGGAGGCUGCAGUCGAGGAUCUUCCGCAAUGGGGGAAACCCUGACGGAGCGACGCCGCGUGGAGGAUGAAGGCCUUCGGGUCGUAAACUCCUGUCAGUCUGGAAGAAAAUCUGCAGCAAUGUGGAUUGACCGUACAGGCAGAGGAAGCUCCGGCUAACUCCGUGCCAGCAGCCGCGGUAAUACGGAGGGAGCGAGCGUUGUUCGGAAUCAUUGGGCGUAAAGGGCAUGUAGGCGGCUCUGUAAGUCGGGUGUGAAAUCCCAUCUCUCAAGGGUGGAACGGCAUUCGAAACUGCAGGGCUUGAGUUCGGGGGAAGAGAGCGGAAUUCUCGGUGUAGCGGUGAUAUGCGUAGAUAUCGAGAAGAACACCAGCGGCGUAAGCGGCUCUCUAUCCUGAAACUGACGCUGAGGUGCGAAAGCCAGGGGAGCGAACGGGAUUAGAUACCCCGGUAGUCCUGGCCAUAAACGAUGUGCACUUGGUGUUGGGCCGCGAGGCUCAGUGCCGAAGCUAACGCAUUAAGUGCACCGCCUGGGGAGUACGACCGCAAGGUUGAAACUCAAAGGAAUUGACGG
rnacentral:rRNA from 1 species